AACAGCCCCGGAGGUGUCGACAGCCUGAGGGAUCAUCCUCGAUUAAGCACUGUCGCUGUCCCAGAGGCCAGACUGGGAGACUCUGCGGGGAAUUCAGAUUCUGCAGGAGACCAUUCCCUGGAGGAGAGGAUGUCUGAUGUUGGUGGUACCUCUGCUGGGAUGCUACCCAAAAUACUCUGCUCACGACUCUGCUUUCCAAUCUGACUGCCGAAGGAAGGGGUUCUGCAGGGCGUCAAGUGGGAGUGCAUAAAGCGUGAGUCACCCUGUUUCAAAUAAAGCAGCUGUGGUCGCAGGGAGCCAUCCACCCUGGCUCUGGCCUCCAGACUGGGGAGAGAAUCCUCCCAGCUCCUGCCCUUGAACCAAAAGCCUCAGAGCUGCUCCAGGUCUCCUGGGUCCCAAGCGGCACUAUUCACAAUAGCCAAGACAUGGAAACACCUAAAUGUCCAUCAACAGAUGAAUGGAUUAAGAAGAUGUGGUGCCUAUACAUAAUGGAAUAUUACUCAACCAUAAAAAAGAAUGAAAUAAUGCCAUCUAGAGCAACAUGGAUGCAACUAGAGAUUAUCAUAUUAAGAGAGCAGGAACAAUUGAAAUCUCUGCACAGCCACCCAGAAGCAGCCACAGGACCCACCAUGACAAGCUGGAGCCAGGAGCCUGGGGAAACAGCACCCACUUCCCCCACCCCCACCCGCUGGCUCUGCUCCAGGUCCUGGAUGCAGCAAGGACAGCAGACCACCCAGCGCAUGAAGAUGAGACGGUCCACUGUGGGGGCAGGGAGCCGCACCAACUCAGACCCCAGCUGCCACAGGGAGCCUGCUGUCUGUGAACCUGAGAUAAGAGCGCCUGGCAAGCUCCAGCUGCCAAGGAUGGCUCAUGGGCAAAACGGAGCAGGUGUGACAGCAUGCUCUGCUCCUGACAGUAUGAUCACCAGAGCCAGGAAUUCAUUGUAAUUUUUAAGCACUUGGCAAUUUUUUUUCUAGUUACAGAGAAUCUGCUUUAGGAAUUCAUCAGUGGAGGAAAAAUUUUGUUUCCAGUCUGGGGAAAAUUAUUUUAAUGAGCCUCUUGGUUACAUGCAAAGGUAACACCAAAACCCUAGUCCGCAUUGAGAACACUCAAAAAAUCAGAGUAAAGUCACAUAAUAAAAAUUAGCACAGGAGUUCCCAUCAUGGUGCAGUGGGUAACGAAUCUGACUGGUAUCCAUGAGAACACGGGUUCAAUACCUGGCCUUGUUCAGUGGGUUAAGGGUCCCACAUUGCCAAGAGCUAUGGUGUAGGUCGAAGACAUGGCUCAGAUAUGGUAUUGCUAUGGUGUAGGCUGGCAUUCGAUCCCUAGCCUGGGAACUUCCAUAUGCAGUGGGUGCUGCCCUAAAACAAAAGACAAAAUAAUAAUAAUAAAUAAAUAACAAAAUGAUUUUUCAAAAAAGCAACCCAAAUUAACACAUAUAUUCAUUAUGCGUUAGGUCUAAGAACUGUAUCUUUAUUAUUCAUUUAAUCCUUCUAUUAAUCCCAUUUAACAGGUGAGAAAGUUGAGGCAGCGAGGCUAAGAAACUUGUUCAAGAUCACACAGCAAUCCCGGCCAAUUCCAGCAGUUGCAAAAUGCUGAGUGAAGCAGGAGAGGUGACCAGUGAUAGAGACAGGUGGAGACUGCGGCAAACCUCUUCCAGGGGGCAACCACUUCUCAGCUCCGAUGGUGAGCCCAGCGUGACCGCAUCUUCAAUUUUGUCAAAAGGUGCAAAAAUCUGGCUCUUGAUGUGAAAAGCUAUCAAUUUUCAAAUGUUGGAGGCAAAUUACUUUGAAAAUGUAAACGCUGACUCUGACCAAACAGAAUGCAUUAAGGAGGAUGAUGCACUGCACAGGCUCUAGUUCUAUCGUUUAGGUAUGGCAUCCAUUUUCAUUGUCUGGUACCUGACCGCAGUCCAUUCUGAUUGGUCGGUAACAGGCUGGCAUUCAUCUAAUUGGUCAGCACCAAGCUGAAGCGUUCUAAUUGGCUGAUGCUUGUUUUUGGAGGCCGUUCCAUAAAGUAAGUAUGUCUCAGCAUUUUUUCCUAAGGAGAAGGGCGGUAGCGUUCAACAGGUUCUCAGACGUGUUGGUGGCCUCUGAGGAGCUAAGAACCAUCACUUUAGAGGUUCCCACUCUUUCCUUUACAUAUUUUCAUUUCUCUUGCUUCCAGGCAGCCAUUGAGGUUAAUUCUGGCAGAUGCUGUACCUGCUCCGCUGACAUCUCACUCUUGUCACAACACGGUUUUGCAUCAGUAGCUGGCGGCCAGACCCCAGGGAUCAAUCUUACUUGAUCAAAGCCAACCCUAGCCACUGCAUUUCUCCUGUCUCUCACGGGUUUAGGAAUGAGCGUGCCUCCCAAUUCAGCUACCAAGAUAUGAGGGAAAGUCUGUUGGGGGCAGAACUGGGGAAAUUGGAACAUUAAAAAGGACACAAGGAAAAAUCAUACUGUGUUCUUUUCUGUUCUGUAGACAUUUUGUGUUGAUCUACACCUGGAUCCCUGGCAGCCAUUUUGCAACCAUGAGGAGAACUAGCCUGCGCAACAGAAUUUCCUCAGUGGCACGGACUCAGAAAAUUAACAAAACCUUGAAC
rnacentral:lncRNA from 1 species